rnacentral:rRNA from 1 species
CACGUAGGGCGCGAGCGUUGUCCGGAAUUAUUGGGCGUAAAGAGCUCGUAGGCGGCCUGUUGCGUCCGCUGUGAAAGCCCCGAGCUCAACUUGGGAAUUGCAGUGGAUACUGGCAGACUAGAGUGCGGUAGGGGAGACUGGAAUUCCUGGUGUAGCGGUGAAAUGCGCAGAUAUCAGGAGGAACACCGGUGGCGAAGGCGGGUCUCUGGGCCGUAACUGACGCUGAGGAGCGAAAGCGUGGGGAGCGAACAGG